GAUACGUACAAGCUACGUGGUUACAGCAUUCGCCUCGGAUGCGGGAUGUCGUGGGUUUGAACCCCGUCAUAAUCA